UACGAAGGGGGCUAGCGUUGCUCGGAAUCACUGGGCGUAAAGCGCACGUAGGCGGAUCUUUAAGUCAGGGGGGAAAUCCCGAGGCUCAACCUCGGAACUGCCUUUGAUACUGGGGAUCUCGAGUCCGGAAGAGGUUGGUGGAACUCCGAGUGUAGAGGUGAAAUUCGUAGAUAUUCGGAAGAACACCAGUGGCGAAGGCGGCCAACUGGUCCGGUACUGACGCUGAGGAGCGAAAGCGUGGGGAGCAAACAGG
rnacentral:rRNA from 1 species